AUAAACAGAAGCAGCCUGAGCCUGUGGUAAAAACAGAAGUUUUGAGGCAAAAAUCUCAUUGUUGGGAGAUUGAUUAUUGUUGUUUUGACAAUUGUUGAGAUGGUGACAGAUAUGUGAGAUCAUUCGCAUUCCAUUGAUUUGUAUAUCUUUUGAAGUGCACUCAGCAAUUAUAUCUGCUAAAAAGAAGAAAAGUAAGUGUCAUCUACCCAAGUUACUGUGCCUUGAUUGUCAAAUUGUUUCAUUGCAGGUAAUAGAGUGCUAUGUCUGCUGAAAAGUUCCAUGUAGUUUGUGCUUCAGAAGCAAUGGUAGUGUUUAUCCAUUAUAGGAUCUUCCGAUAGAGAAUCUGGAAAUGCAUUAGCAUUGAUCAGAAAUUAAUUAGCAGCAGCACACACAUUAGAUAUGCUCUUUCUGCUAUCCCUAUAAAUUAUGUGUGCGUAGCUUUGGACAAUUUGUUUGUACCAUAAUCUCUAGGACGAAUGGCUUGUUGCAAUUAGCAAACAUUGUGGAAUGACAAUCGUGGGUUUUGAAUGCCA